rnacentral:rRNA from 1 species
UACGAAGGGGGCUAGCGUUGCUCGGAAUACUGGGCGUAAAGCGCACGUAGGCGGAUUUGUAAGUCAGGGGUGAAAUCCCGAGGCUCAACCUCGGAACUGCCUUUGAUACUGCAAAUCUCGAGUCCGGAAGAGGUGAGUGGAAUUCCUAGUGUAGAGGUGAAAUUCGUAGAUAUUAGGAAGAACACCAGUGGCGAAGGCGGCUCACUGGUCCGGUACUGACGCUGAGGUGCGAAAGC